rnacentral:rRNA from 2 species
UCAGGACGAACGCUGGCGGCGUGCCUAAUACAUGCAAGUCGAACGAACUCUGGUAUUGAUUGGUGCUUGCAUCAUGAUUUACAUUUGAGUGAGUGGCGAACUGGUGAGUAACACGUGGGAAACCUGCCCAGAAGCGGGGGAUAACACCUGGAAACAGAUGCUAAUACCGCAUAACAACUUGGACCGCAUGGUCCGAGUUUGAAAGAUGGCUUCGGCUAUCACUUUUGGAUGGUCCCGCGGCGUAUUAGCUAGAUGGUGGGGUAACGGCUCACCAUGGCAAUGAUACGUAGCCGACCUGAGAGGGUAAUCGGCCACAUUGGGACUGAGACACGGCCCAAACUCCUACGGGAGGCAGCAGUAGGGAAUCUUCCACAAUGGACGAAAGUCUGAUGGAGCAACGCCGCGUGAGUGAAGAAGGGUUUCGGCUCGUAAAACUCUGUUGUUAAAGAAGAACAUAUCUGAGAGUAACUGUUCAGGUAUUGACGGUAUUUAACCAGAAAGCCACGGCUAACUACGUGCCAGCAGCCGCGGUAAUACGUAGGUGGCAAGCGUUGUCCGGAUUUAUUGGGCGUAAAGCGAGCGCAGGCGGUUUUUUAAGUCUGAUGUGAAAGCCUUCGGCUCAACCGAAGAAGUGCAUCGGAAACUGGGAAACUUGAGUGCAGAAGAGGACAGUGGAACUCCAUGUGUAGCGGUGAAAUGCGUAGAUAUAUGGAAGAACACCAGUGGCGAAGGCGGCUGUCUGGUCUGUAACUGACGCUGAGGCUCGAAAGUAUGGGUAGCAAACAGGAUUAGAUACCCUGGUAGUCCAUACCGUAAACGAUGAAUGCUAAGUGUUGGAGGGUUUCCGCCCUUCAGUGCUGCAGCUAACGCAUUAAGCAUUCCGCCUGGGGAGUACGGCCGCAAGGCUGAAACUCAAAGGAAUUGACGGGGGCCCGCACAAGCGGUGGAGCAUGUGGUUUAAUUCGAAGCUACGCGAAGAACCUUACCAGGUCUUGACAUACUAUGCAAAUCUAAGAGAUUAGACGUUCCCUUCGGGGACAUGGAUACAGGUGGUGCAUGGUUGUCGUCAGCUCGUGUCGUGAGAUGUUGGGUUAAGUCCCGCAACGAGCGCAACCCUUAUUAUCAGUUGCCAGCAUUAAGUUGGGCACUCUGGUGAGACUGCCGGUGACAAACCGGAGGAAGGUGGGGAUGACGUCAAAUCAUCAUGCCCCUUAUGACCUGGGCUACACACGUGCUACAAUGGAUGGUACAACGAGUUGCGAACUCGCGAGAGUAAGCUAAUCUCUUAAAGCCAUUCUCAGUUCGGAUUGUANGCUGCAACUCGCCUACAUGAAGUCGGAAUCGCUAGUAAUCGCGGAUCAGCAUGCCGCGGGUGAAUACGUUCCC